rnacentral:rRNA from 1 species
CAUUAUUGAAAUAAACCUGAUGAGUUGCUGCUGGCUCUCUCUUGUAGAGCAUGUGCACACUUGUCAUCUUUAUAUUUCCAAACCCACCCCCCCCUGUGCAUCUAUUGUAGACCUGGAUAUCUUUCUGAAUGUUAGUUCAUUCAGGUUUAGAGGAUUGACUCUUAUCUUUCCUUACAUUUUUCAGGCCUAUGUUUCUUCAUAUACACUCUUAAUGUAUGUUGUUCAUAAUAAUGGGCCUUUUGUGCCUAUAAAUCUUAUACAACUUUCAGCAACGGAUCUCUUGGCUCUCGCAUCGAUGAAGAACGCAGCGAAAUGCGAUAAGUAAUGUGAAUUGCAGAAUUCAGUGAAUCAUCGAAUUUUUGAACGCACCUUGCGCUCCUUGGUAUUCUGAGGAGCAUGCCUGUUUGAGUGUCAUUAAAUCUAUCAAUUCUCUUUUGUUAGAGUCUUGGAUGUGGGGGGGUUUAUGCUGGUCUUUUUAAAAAUCAGCUCCCCUGAAAUGCAUUAGCAGAACCCAUUUGCAAGAGUGUUCAUUGGUGUGAUAACUUAUCUACGCUAUUGACAUUUGAGGGGGUUCAGCUUCUAAUGGUCUAUUGACUUGGACAAUUUAUUUAUUGAUUUGACCUCAAAUCAGGUAGGACUACCCGCUGAACUUAAGCAUAUCAAUAAGCGGAGGAAAAGAAACUAACAAGGAUUCCCCUAGUAACUGCGAGUGAAGCGGGAAAAGCUCAAAUUUAAAAUCUGGCAGUCCUUGGCUGUCCGAGUUGUAAUCUAGAGAAGUGUUAUCCGCGUUGGACCGUGUACAAGUCUCCUGGAAUGGAGCAUCACAGAGGGUGAGAAUCCCGUCUUUGACAUGGACUACCAGGGCAUUUGUGAUGCGCUCUCAAAGAGUCGAGUUGUUUGGGAAUGCAGCUCAAAAUGGGUGGUAAAUUCCAUCUAAAGCUAAAUAUUGGCGAGAGACCGAUAGCGAACAAGUACCGUGAGGGAAAGAUGAAAAGAACUUUGGAAAGAGAGUUAAACAGUACGUGAAAUUGCUGAAAGGGAAACGCUUGAAGUCAGUCGCGUUGGUUAGGGAUCAACCUUGCUAUUGCUUGGUGUAUUUCCUAGUUGACGGGUCAGCAUCAAUUUUGAC